CAGUAGCCGCGGGAAAACGUAGGUGGCAAGCGUUGUCCGGAAUUAUUGGGCGUAAAGGGCUCGCAGGCGGUUUCUUAAGUCUGAUGUGAAAGCCCCCGGCUCAACCGGGGGGGGUCAUUGGAAACUGGGAAACUUGAGUGCAGAAGAGGAGAGUGGAAUUCCACGUGUAGCGGUGAAAUGCGUAGAGAUGUGGAGGAACACCAGUGGCGAAGGCGACUCUCUGGUCUGUAACUGACGCUGAGGAGCGAAAGCGUGGGGAGCGAACAGGAUUAGAUACCCGCGUAGUCCCUGUCUCUUAUAC
rnacentral:rRNA from 1 species